rnacentral:rRNA from 1 species
GACAGAGGGUGCAAACGUUGUUCGGAAUUACUGGACGUAAAGCGCGCGUAGGCGGCUUUGCAAGUCGGGUGUGAAAUCCCCAGGCUUAACCUGGGAACUGCAUUCGAGACUGCAUUGCUAGAGUAUGGGAGAGGGAAGUGGAAUUUCCGGUGUAGCGGUGAAAUGCGUAGAUAUCGGAAGGAACAUCAGUGGCGAAAGCGACUUCCUGGACCAAUACUGACGCUCAUGUGCGAAAGCGUGGGGAGCAAACAGG